UACAGAGGGGGCAAGCGUUGUUCGGAAUUACUGGGCGUAAAGGGCGCGUAGGCGGCCUGCUAAGUCGAACGUGAAAUCCCCGGGCUCAACCCGGGAACUGCGUCCGAUACUGGCAGGCUUGAAUUCGGGAGAGGGAUGCGGAAUUCCAGGUGUAGCGGUGAAAUGCGUAGAUAUCGGGAGGAACACCUGUGGCGAAAGCGGCUCACUGGACCAUUACUGACGCUGAUGCUCGAAAGCUAGGGGAGCAAACAGG
rnacentral:rRNA from 1 species